CCCUCUUGUCUGGAGUUUUCCCUGUGAGCCUAAGUUUUCAGAGAUGGGCAGGGUUAUCUCCUGCCACGUGCUUGGGUUUAGCAACUGAACUACAUCCUUCAGCUGCACCUAAUAGCGAAGAAAUGCUGUAGCUGGGGGGGCACUGCCCAACUCCUCCUUCACUGGGACAGCACGAUAACACUGAGGUGUCCCAAGCCGGGUCCAUCUGCAGCCCCAGCUGGACACGUGCUGCUCCCUCGUCACACUCCAGGAUGAUCCCAAAAAGAGGAAUGCUGACAUUAGGGGAAAAAAUGCUCUGUGAAUUGAUGCUCCUGUCCUUGGUGUUUACAUGGAGACAGUGGAGGUCAGGAGCUUCAGCCCUCAGAGCCACAGGCUGCAGAAUCCUCUCCAUGAAGGGGCAGAUGUCCCAGCUCCAUUACCUGAGCAAGUGGCUGAGUAUCUCACACUUUCGCACUCACGCUUCAGUCUGAAACCUCUGCACUCAAGUGGAAAGUCCUACAGUUACAGCUGGCUUGGGCAGCACAGCCCCAUGGUGCAGUGCCAUUCCCAGUGCUGGAGGUGUGGGCACAGCAGUGGUCCCACUGCUCACACCAAGGCUGAGCAGGGAGCUGGAACCCUGCCUGGAGCAGCUCUCUCCUUCUGCACCACCUGCUGCCCCAGUGCUGCUGUCCUCCCUGACACAGAUCACAAAGAGAGAGCGUAAAACAGCCUUACCUCGUCAGGAAGUGACCCAGCCGGCUCAGUGCUGCAGGCAGGAGGAAGUGUGCCG